CCUACGGGGGGCAGCAGUCGAGAAUCAUUCACAAUGGGGGAAACCCUGAUGGUGCGACGCCGCGUGGGGGAAUGAAGGUCUUCGGAUUGUAAACCCCUGUCAUGUGGGAGCAAAUUAAAAAGAUAGUACCACAAGAGGAAGAGACGGCUAACUCUAUGCCAGCAGCCGCGGUAAUACAGAGGUCUCAAGCGUUGUUCGGAAUCACUGGGCGUAAAGCGUGCGUAGGCUGUUUCGUAAGUCGUGUGUGAAAGGCGCGGGCUCAACCCGCGGACGGCACAUGAUACUGCGAGACUAGAGUAAGGGAGGGGGAACCGGAAUUCUCGGUGUAGCAGUGAAAUGCGUAGAUAUCGAGAGGAACACUCGUGGCGAAGGCGGGUUCCUGGACAGUAACUGACGCUGAGGCACGAAGGCCAGGGGAGCGAAAGGGAUUAGAUACCCUAGUAGUC
rnacentral:rRNA from 1 species